AACGAACGCUGGCGGCAUGCCUAACACAUGCAAGUCGAACGAAACCUGCGGGCCUACUGGCGCACGGGUGCGUAACGCGGGGAGACCUGCCCUUAAGUUCGGAAUCACGCCCCGAAAGGGGUGCUAAUACCGAAGAAUGUCCUCGGACCAAACAUUUAUCGCCUUUGGAUGCGCCCGCGUUGGUGUAGCUAGUUGGUAGGGUAAAAGGCUACCAAGGCGACGAACCAUAGCUGGUCUGAGAGGAUGGUCAGCCACACUGGGACUGACACACGGCCCGGACUACUCCCGGAGGCAGCAGUGGGCAAUAUUGGACAGCGGGCGAGAGCCUGAUCCAGCUCUGACGCGUGAGUGAUGAAGGUCUGAGGGUUGUGAAGCUCUUUUAACCGGGGUGAUAAUGACAGUACCGGCAGAAUAAGCACCGGCUAACUCCGUG
rnacentral:rRNA from 1 species